rnacentral:lncRNA from 1 species
CUUCUCUGGCUCACCAGAGGUGCCUCCUCCAUCCUGGCCCCUCGUGCAGGGGCCCAUCUGUCAGGCUCUGGGGCUGCCUCCGAGAACCUGACUCCUACACUGCCACGCCUGUGCCUUCUCCAGGAGCACACUAGAUCCCAUGGCGCUUGCCUUCCCUGACCAGCUCUAUGAUGCGGUCUUUGAUGGAGCCCAGGUGACCAGCAAGACCCCCAUCCGCCUCUACGGCGGUGCCCUCCUCAGUGAGUACUGCUGGGGCGGGCCCUGGGGGAGGCGACGGGCAGCUGGGAGACCCAGCGGGGCUGAGGAGAGCACGGGGGUCCGUGCCCGGGCACCCCUUCCUUUCUUCGGCCAGAUGCUGCGCCCACACCCCGGCCUCUGAUGAAGCUCUCUGCUGGGGAUGUGCUGCCAUCUUGUGGCCAUUGGUGGAAUACACCCAGUGGGUUGGAGCUUGCAGUCGCCACCAUCUGCAAGGAGCGCUCAUAAGUGUGUGCACUGCCUCUGGGCGUUGUGGUACAGAGAUGGAGGAAGCCCAGGCCCAGCCUCUAGGAAUUCACAGCCUAGAGGAGAGGCAGAUCAAUUCAGUGUC